GCCAACCCUCAAAUGUCCAAGUUCACAGAGAAACGCAAGGUUCCCAAGGCAGGGCUCAUAGGAAGGGGGGGGGGGGCAGAACAUAGGGUCUAAGAGUAAGUGCAAGUGUAGUAAAAGGGGAUGAGGCAAGCUGGUGGUCAUACCUAGCAAUUUGGGGUGAUGGAACACCCUUGACCAGCUUGUCAGUUCAAAUUGAGGAGUCAAGACCCGUUGAAGGUCAGGUUCAUCCAUAGACAACAAUUUUGGUGCUACUAGGCUAUACCUUAACUCAACACACAUAAGGGAAUGAGGGUAUGGGGAGCUGAAAGAGACAAAAGCAGGCAUUGGACAUGUCCAGCAAUAGGGAAUGCUAACAUGCCCACAAUCCUGUUACACUAUUUAGAGGUUAGGAUCCAAAAGAUCUAGUUUUAAUACAUUGACAACAACUUGUAUAUUGCCAUAUUUUAAACUAUAGCUCAAACACUUAAAAGGGCAGGGAGUAGGGAUUUAUUGCAUUUGCAGGAAACUAAAGCAAACAGUAGCAUAUGAACAUGUCAAACUCUGCAGGUAACGGAUAUAGAUUUGAAGACUAUAAGUAAACAUAUUAGGAUUAUGCUGGGAAUUGAGUUAAGACAUACCAGUUUAAGGAGAUAAACAGAGAGGAAGCAGCAGUGUUGUGAAAACCAAAGUGCCAAUAAAGAAUACUCAAAAGAGAUUGUGAAAAUUGUAAGUAUACUCAAAAGAGGUUGUGAAAAUUGUAAGUAUGAAGUCUGGAGUGUAUUCCGUUCUAUGUUUGUGAAAGGAGGGUCGAGUAUUUAUAGUUUGAAAAUAGGCAGAAGUAAGGGAAAAAUCAUGGUAAUUAUGGAACUAUGUAUCAAUUGCAAUCAAUCAACAUAGGCACUUCCUUUUAAUUAAGGAUUUUAAACUCAAAUGGUAAUGGACAACAAACAGUUAAGGAAAGAAAUCAAGUGAACGACUUGUGUAAAGUAGGAAAUUAGGGGUAAAUACAUACAGGUGUAACUAAGAAAAGAAUCUUUAAUAUACAUGAUUAGCCCACACAAGAUAAGAACAAAAAAAUCAAUUAGUACAUAGUAAAUCAAGGAAUUUGGGUUUCAAAAAUUACCAAUGAACCAGGUUAGAAGCAGGGGAAAGAAAGGUCCACGUCGGGAAAAUCAGGAACAAUCAAAUAAGCACCAUCAAAGGGAUUCAAAAUCAAUUAGUAGUUGGCAAAAUCUCUUGAAAGAAGAAUUCUCAUAUAUAAAGUACACAGACAUGUGAGUCAAGAAGAGACUGUCGAGUUAUGUAAGAAAGAGGAGUUCAGAUUCAUAAAGACUCAAAAAUCAUGAGCUAAGAGAUAUCCAGUUUGCAGACUCACAGUAAGUCUGAGAGUCCAGGGUCCCAAAGCGGAGCCUUAACUCGAAAGAAUCAAAGUCAUCAGAGGAAACCCCCAAAUCUUAGGGUCUCAAAAUUGAAUAAAACAUGGAAGCAAGCCAUUUGCUUCAGAGUCUCAACAAAACAGAUAUGAUAGCAUGUUGAAUGACAAAUGAAGAAGAAUCAUGAAGAACUUAUUUUGAGAAAACUUGGAACCUAAACAAGUUCAGGAGAAUGAGAUAAUGCAACUUGAACACAGUAGAUGAAGCAUGUAAGAACAUGAACAAAGUCCAGUAAACAAGAAUCAAAUAACUUAAUGGCAAACACACAUAGUAAAAGAGUUGAGAGAACAUAGCAAAGAUUAACAGGAGUAACAUGCAAUCAUAGUAGAAAGAUUCAAAGUACACAUCAGCGAAUACUUAUUAGAAUAAUCGGAGAAAGAUGCUUAGCAUAACCCUAAACAAGGCUCAAUCGAAGGAAGACAAAGAACUAUAAGGAAUUAGCAAGAAAAGUAUAAAAAAAAAGAAUCGCUGGGAAAGGUAUAGCACGAAAGCAUAUAGAGAAACACAAUAAGAUAAACAUAUAAACACAUGAUGAGAUGUAGUAGAAAAGUCUACAAGAACAUAUUAUAGAAAAACACAGUACAACAGAGGACAUCACAAAGAAGAAAGACUCAUAAAACUCCUAAACAUUUUCCAGAAAACCUUUGACCUACAAAGAAGGUUUUUAAAAAGUAAUUUUCAAAGAAAUAUUUAGGAAAAUCAUUUGAAAACUCACUCAUAGCAUAGAUACACAGCGGAUCUAAAAAGAAUCGAAGAAAACCUCGAACAGUUAGGGUUUCAGAGGAACCCUAGGGUGAGAAAGGCUUUGAAAAAGGUCCGAUCUGAGUCGGAUAAGGUUGGAAUCAGGCUCAGGAGGCUACGAUAUGCCGAAGCAAAGCCUGGAGAUGGCCGGAAACCUUGAGUUGACGAAGGUCUGGUCUCGAACCUUCAAGCAUCAUGCACACAUGAGUAAUAUGAGCUGAGUAUAUAUCAUCUAUGGACAGAGAAGCCAUGGAUUCUGGUGGGGUUGUGGUCAGAGAGGCGGUCGAGUUCAUAAGAGAAGAGAGAACCAGAAGGUUAUAGGGAGAAGGGAGAGGGAGAGCCGAUAUAGAGAAAGAGAC
rnacentral:lncRNA from 1 species